rnacentral:lncRNA from 1 species
ACGUUACGUAACCUCGGUUACCUGUUAUUGAAAAAUAAUUCGUUAAUUAAAUGGCUUAUUUUAUUAUAAUCAUAUAAAUUUUAAAAAUGUACGUACUAAAUAAUCGUACAUUAUUACUGUUUAUUUGUAACGGCUGUUGCUAUCUGCAUCGCGCUGUACUUUGACAACUCUUUCUUGUCAAACGUAUACCGGUUGGCUGCGUCCCUUUCCCCCGCGGACCCUCUCUCCGCGCGGAGACGCGCCUCAGCCGAGCGGUCAGUCAGAUUUAGCUAUCAGUCGCCGGCGCACGCUCGCUUGCCUUGCGCAGUGACUAUCGUGUGGCCGGCGACAAAUGAUUAAUAUUUUAAUAGAUAUCUGUAUCGUUUAAUAUCUUCAAAUGUAAAUGAGUAGUGUUUAAAUCCCCAAUUGGGGUGCUAUGGUACGGGUGAUCACCGGCCAUGAGACCACCAUCACGCUGACUCCAAGGACCUGGUGCUGACCCUGGCAGUCACGGCUGACGUUCUUCAGCACUCCGUCACUUCACCGACAUAGCGGAGCCAGGGAAGUACUAGCGUGUGGGCUACAGCUGCUUUCUUAAUCCGGGAGUAGAAUUAAUCAGACGGUUAACGGACUUUGACCCUUCGACGAUUGUUUCGAAUGCUUGCGACGGUUUAAGCGGAAUAAAUUUGUGAAGUGAGA